UGAUGCAGCCAUGCCGCGUGUGUGAAGAAGGCCUUCGGGUUGUAAAGCACUUUCAGUCAGGAGGAAAGGUUAACGGUUAAUACCCGUUAGCUGUGACGUUACUGACAGAAGAAGCACCGGCUAACUCCGUGCCAGCAGCCGCGGUAAUACGGAGGGUGCGAGCGUUAAUCGGAAUUACUGGGCGUAAAGCGUACGCAGGCGGUUUGUUAAGCGAGAUGUGAAAGCCCCGGGCUCAACCUGGGAACUGCAUUUCGAACUGGCAAACUAGAGUGUGAUAGAGGGUGGUAGAAUUUCAGGUGUAGCGGUGAAAUGCGUAGAGAUCUGAAGGAAUACCGAUGGCGAAGGCAGCCACCUGGGUCAACACUGACGCUCAUGUACGAAAGCGUGGGGAGCAAACGGGAUUAGAUACCCCGGUAGUCCACGCCGUAAACGAUGUCUACUAGAAGCUCGGAGCCUCGGUUCUGUUUUUCAAAGCUAACGCAUUAAGUAGACCGCCUGGGGAGUACGGCCGCAAGGUUAAAACUCAAAUGAAUUGACGGGGGCCCGCACAAGCGGUGGAGCAUGUGGUUUAAUUCGAUGCAACGCGAAGAACCUUACCUACACUUGACAUACAGAGAACUUACCAGAGAUGGUUUGGUGCCUUCGGGAACUCUGAUACAGGUGCUGCAUGGCUGUCGUCAGCUCGUGUUGUGAGAUGUUGGGUUAAGUCCCGCAACGAGCGCAACCCCUAUCCUUAGUUGCUAGCAGGUAAUGCUGAGAACUCUAAGGAGACUGCCGGUGAUAAACCGGAGGAAGGUGGGGACGACGUCAAGUCAUCAUGGCCCUUACGUGUAGGGCUACACACGUGCUACAAUGGCGCAUACAGAGUGCUGCGAACUCGCGAGAGUAAGCGAAUCACUUAAAGUGCGUCGUAGUCCGGAUUGGAGUCUGCAACUCGACUCCAUGAAGUCGGAAUCGCUAGUAAUCGCGUAUCAGAAUGACGCGGUGAAUACGUUCCCGGGCCUUGUACACACCGCCCGUCACACCAUGGGAGUGGGUUGCUCCAGAAGUAGAUAGUCUAACCCUCGGGAGGACGUUUACCACGGAGUGAUUCAUGACUGGGGUGAAGUCGUAACAAGGUAGCCCUAGGGGAACCUGCGGCUGGAUCACCUCCA
rnacentral:rRNA from 1 species